UUUUUUUCAUAACAAUGGGCUAAUUAACAAACAGGAGGAGAGAUUGCCUGAAACAGAUAUAGAAGAGAGAGCCCACCGCCGAAACUCUAAACUCGUUGCCGUCGGCAUCGCCGCUUCAGUUCCCAAGGUUUCUGGAAUCGAGCAAAGGCUCCUCUUCCGCCUAUGAGUUCGAGAGAAAGCGCCUUUUUCGUCAACACAUCUCCUCCGCGAACGAGUCCUUGGACUUCAUUUCCAUCCGAUCUGCCUCAGAUCCGCAUUGCUCUCAUCGUUUGUUCGUCUCAAAUCUACGUCGCCAAGGUCUUCCAGCCACUGUGCUGCUCUUGUUGAAACACUACACCUCCGCCACUUGCACCGCCUCCGUUCUUGCGCAUAGACGCACAAGAUCGUCGCCGUGAUUACAAGUCCGAAAACUCUGACAUUGGCAUUUUUCUGGGAUUCAAUGAAGUCACAAUUCCAAAUAUUUUCUUAUGAUGUCCUUGCAAAAGCAACUAACCAUUUCGAGAAUUAUGUUGGGAAAGGAGGCUUUGGGAGUGUUUACUAUGCUCCCACAAGGAUAUGAGGUAGUAAUCAAACAUUUCCAUGAAAAGAAGGAGAAGACAAAAAAGCAAUUCAUGAGAGAAGUUGAGAUCCUAAGUCUCAUGCGCCAUCAGAAUCUGGUCUAGCUGUAUGGCUGCAGUUCUGAUGACAGUGAUGAACUCCUGUUAGUUUACGAGUAUGUCUCCAACGGUUCUCUAUCAACCUAUCUCCAUUGAAAUUCUGGAAACAAACUACCAUGGGCUACCAGAUUAAAUAUUUCCAUUGAGACUGCUUCUGUUGUAUAUUCAUUUUGGAUUUUUAAGUUUUAAAAUGGCAAAACUUGUGGAGAGCCUAUUUUUAGUGGCAACUUAUUACUUAUAUACAACUUAUGUUCAUCCCUUUAUUUGCUCCCUUGCUACUAUUAUACUCAUGUCACCAGAUGAAGUCUUGCACAAAGGCAAUGGGACCCUCUGUGAAAUGUUACUCAUGGUUCAGAUAGGCUCUUAUGCACAUAUUUAGUGAAAUUGAUUUUUCUUUUUUUUUUUUUCAUUUCCAGGUUACUUGUUUUCCUUUUAAUUAUUUGCAUUUGUUUCAGGCAUACAAAGCAAAUGUUAUAUGUCCUAACAAACACCAAUCCGACAAAGAGAAAUUUUAUAGCAAUCAUCUUCUUGAGAGUGAGAAUUUUCUGUAUUAUACAUGCCAUUCAAUAAGAAUUUUCAUAUCUAGAUGUUGUUUAUUCCCUUCGUGGUUAUUUUCUCACUUCCUGCAAAAUAGGGAAAGUAGAUUGAUUUUCAAUAACAUCUUAUGACCAAUUUGUAUUUACUUUAUGAUCACUUGCAUAAGUUGAGAGUUGAGACCAUCAAUAAUGGACGACUAACUUAGACUCCUCUAUCUUCUUUUGUGUAGUAAAAUUAGUUUGUGAUGAUGAAACCACUUAUUGUACAAUAUAUAACUGAAUGUUCUUUACUUAUUUUUUUCCCUGAGUUUAUUUAUUUUUAUUCAUGUAUCUCAUUUGUUUUUAUGCAUGCAUAUAUUUUGUGCUUCAGUUCUUGCGCUUUACAGGUUUUGGUGGGGAGGAUUUUGGAAGGUAAUGUUCUAUCUCUUCUGUUUAUAUAAUCAUUGCACUUGGUCACUUUCAAUAUUUACAUGUUUCAUUAUGUUUUUAACACACAACCCUCUCUUGCAAUAACAUAACUAAUUUGACAUACCAUUGGAGCCUCUGAUCUAGCUCUAACAGAGACUAUGGCUUUUCUCAUAGUGGCUUCAGCUUGAUCAACAUUUCUUGGAGCCGAGGGACUAUUCUCUCUACUAUUCUUUUCUUGAUCAUAACUGUUUCCAUUCUUCUUCUCUGGAGACUCGGACUUCUCCGACAAAGAAAGCGAAGCCUCCUCUCCGAUCUCAGCACCGUUUGUGGCCAAUCGAAGAUCCAUGAACUGUCUUGGCACUGCGUCUUGCUUCUUCUCCUCCUCCUCCUCCUCUGGCUUGUGUUGUUGCAUCAAAGCCACCACCUUGCAUCUGCAGGGCCUUGUAUUCCGCGGUUACACAAUCUAGCCUCUCUCUCCAUUGAUUCUCCACCUUCAUUCACUCCAACUCUACCAGAAUACAACUGUCUGAUCAGUGAUGGGUCUUUUUUCGUGUGAAUUUGGAGAGAUGUUGUUGUCAACAACGAAUUGAUCGCUGCUCGUGUUGGUAGUAAGAAGAUUCAGACCAGUCUGAAAUAAUGAAUGAAAAUUGAGAAGCUUCGGAUACGUAAUUUAGAAGUAAAGACAUGGUAUUGGUUGGGAAUGCUUGCAACAACCUUUCAUGUCAUGGCAAUGUGUCUUAGGAUCUGUCACUAGGAUUGGUUUAUAGCCUAAUUUGUUGUAACAUAGUUAUAAGCUUGUAGCAUUUUUUAUUGUUUAGAUUUGUAACAUGAGUUAUUAUUUUUCAAGAGAAACUUGUGUAUCAAUUUUUGAGUUUAAUGAAAUAUCUCAUUUUAUAGUAA